rnacentral:rRNA from 1 species
AAUAGAUACCCUGGUAGUCCACGCCGUAAACGAUGAGUGCUAGGUGUUGGGGGGGUUCCACCCUCAGUGCUGAAGUUAACACAUUAAGCACUCCGCCUGGGGAGUACGACCGCAAGGUUGAAACUCAAAGGAAUUGACGGGGGCCCGCACAAGCAGUGGAGCAUGUGGUUUAAUUCGAAGCAACGCGAAGAACCUUACCAGGUCUUGACAUCCUUUGACCCACUCUAGAGAUAGAGCUUUCCCCUUCGGGGGGACAAAGUGACAGGUGGUGCAUGGUUGUCGUCAGCUCGUGUCGUGAGAUGUUGGGUUAAGUCCCGCAACGAGCGCAACCCUUGACCUUAGUUGCCAGCAUUCAGUUGGGCACUCUAAGGUGACUGCCGGUGACAAACCGGGAGGAAGGUGGGGAUGACGUCAAAUCAUCAUGCCCCUUAUGACCUGGGCUACACACGUGCUACAAUGGAUGAUACAAAGGGUUGCGAAGCCGCGAGGCCAAGCCAAUCCCAAAAAGUCAUUCUCAGUUCGGAUUGUAGGCUGCAACUCG